AAUUGUGAGAGAUGAAGAAUUUCCAGUCCUGGGUAGGAUUUUGUCAGAAGAGCAAUCUCAAAGACUUGAAAGAGGCCUGGAAUUUAUUACUUUUUAAAUAAACUGGAGAUAAAUCGAAGACUUUCCUGGCUUCCUAGGAGCGUGAGGAUGAGGAAGUGCAGCAGAAGUGCACUCAUUAAUGUCAAAUAUCAUUUUGAUGGAUUGCUUUUACUAAAAACUUGACAGGUAUCAUGUUUUCCAUAAAUAUGGGAUAACAGAGAGAAUAAAAACCUGAGGAAAUCCAUAACUGGCCAGCUGUGGAGAAAUUCAUUUUGUUGUGUCAUGAUCUGAGCUCUGGAGGUUAAAGUACCCUUCCAAUUUUAACAUCCAAGCUGUUGUAGCAUGAUCAGUGUUGACACUCACAUCCCUGAGAAAGUAGCUCAAAUUUCUACAUAACAACCCAAGGGAGACCAUUAAAGGAGAAGAAAAAGCAAAACAAAACAAAAAAAAAACCCAAACCCUGGCCUUGUUCUGCUGUUUUCUGUGUCCUUCUGUCAGCAUCUAUCACAUAAAUCACCCAGCCAUUAGCAGGGAAAAGCACUGACUGGCUAUUGUUGUCUAUAAAAGUCAAGAAAAUCAAAGCAGAUUUAAAGGAGCUUCAGCCAAACGACAGGAGACCACAGCACAGCCACACAGAAACGGAAUCAGACUGCUGUGUUCAGCCAAAAAUGCCAGAAUUUCAGUGUUAUCCAGGCAAAGUCUUCUAUCUAUGAGAGGCUUCAAGACUGACUGCAGAAAAAUCCAAUUUUCCAGGAGUUACUCUUAUUUUUCAGCUUAAUAAAUUUUUUUAUGCACCAACCAUCUUCAUAAACCACCCCAUUUUUGCUACUAAAAGAGAGCUCCAAACCUGGCCAGCUUUGAACUGCAGCUCCACGUGCAAACAUCCUCAGCCAUGAGCUUGCAGGGAAGCACUCGGAUAGGAUGGAACCCAAGAGCCCCCAUCGCCAAGAAAAUCAAAUCUAGACGGAUUUUCUCUCUCACGGUGAUUUAGAAGAUGUGCCCUGUGAGGAAGAGCAGCAGAGCUGCUGGAGAGGUUAUUGUCAUCCACGGAGAAUCACGAAAUCAUUUCGGAACAGGAACGACGAGCUGCGACUUGACAGAAAUCACAGGUGGGCCCUGCAUAAAUCCCUCACCAAAAUGGCCUUGCCAACACCCUCUGAGGGGCACGAGGAGCGUUUGAGAGCCCUCAAGCAGAAGGAAGGAGGGAGAGGAGGUGCCAGGGCCGCUUGCAGAGGGCACUGGGCACUGUGGGACGCCAGCUCCUCUCCCUGGCACCAGCACACACCACCUGGCCCACGGGAAGGCACUCUGGGGACAGGCAUGAGCAGGCAGGACUGGCACGUCAGUGCUGAAAACCAGCUCGUUAAACCAAGCACCUAACUGGGAGAAUAAAAAAAAAAAUUAAAUUAAAAAAAAAUUAAAAAAAAUAAAUAAAAUCAAAUUUAAUUUAAUUUAAAAAAAGAAAGAAAAGAAGAAGAAAGGAGUUGGGAAGAAAAAUUUCCAAAGCCAAGCGUUCUCUACAUUCAGCUUGAGGGAAAGCAUCAAUUUUAGCAGAGGGAAAAUAAUAUAAAGAAAUCCAUUCUUCCCCCAAAAACGUAUCUGAGUGCAGACAUUACUCUCUUUCUGCUUCAGAGAAGCAACAUUUGGAAAACUACUUAACCUUUCUAUUUUUAUCUGGGUGCAUUCAAAUUACCAAUAAUGUACAACAUGCUGUAACAAAACCACUGAUGUAGGGUAUAAUUUUCCCUCAAGCACAUUAUCCUAGCUGGUGGCUCAGAAAAAUAAGCUGAUAAAACAGCAGCAGACAUCAAUUGAUGGAUAAAAAGCAAUCACAGCUAUGUAGAAUGUUGCUGCCCAACCUUAAAAUCAUACAAUUAGCCCAAAAAUACGAGCUGUAGGACAGGACAUACCAACAGCCAUGCAUUAGCUACAGGGUCAUCCCAAAAAUCCUCCUACAAACACAUUUUUAAGCAGACCAGCAGAUUAUUGCCUCAUAAUUUAGCUAUUAACACACAGAUUUAUUUUAAAGCCAUCAUCAUGCCUGGUACUUCUAUUAAAUAUCUUCUUCCCUGUCAAGUUCAAUCGGGAUCUCAUCCUAACCAUGAUGAGCUUUUAAUUUUCUGUGCUAUUAAUAGCAACUUAAAAAUAAAAUGUUCUCUUUUGAAGCUGUAAAGCUGUAACUUUCUUUAGGAGCUGCAAGGGGGAAGAGAGAUUAAUCUUCCUACUCUGCAUCUCUUAAGCUACAUUAGUUAUCUGCAUAUAUGGGAAAAAACCCAGGAGAGCAAGGAAGAAGCAGGAAUUUUCUCCAAGAAUCCCUCAAUGUAACUCCCUAUAAGGAUUUCUGCAGCACAGAAAUGAAGAAUUACCAAUACACAAGGAAGAAAUUCUUUAAUUGCCAGGUAGGUUCUGAAUCCUUCUCAGUGACUCUUUUUCCCCAUCAUCAAGAGAUAACAGAUUAAUGAAUGACACAAUUAGCUGCAGGAUGCACUGACUCCUGUCCAGCAAAGCCCUUCAGCAGGUACUCAAAUUUCAGCACAACUGGGGUCCUCAUUAAUUGCCCAGCAAAUGAAGAAAGAUGGGAAGCUGGAGCUGAGUCCCGUGGCCCUCUGUGACCCUCUGACACACGGAUCAGAUGCUCCCAGCUGCUCCUCCUCAGCUGCCUCCUCCCAGCAAGGGCAGCAGGGAAGGCACAAAGUUGUUCCAAGCCCUCUCUGGGCCUGCAGGAGGAAAAUUCAUGCCAAGUGCUGCACCCUCCCUUGCAGCAUCUGCUGCAGUGCUGCUUGCACUUGCAGGGAUUGACACGAGCAAGAUCAACUCCAAGGCUGCCAUCAGAACCACAGAGCCCCAGCAGCUGCACAAAAACCCAGAGAAGACUCUGGGGGGACUCAGAGCCCCCUCCCGUGCCUAAAGGAGCUCCAGGAGAGCUGGAGAGGGACUGAGGACAAGGGACGGAGUGACAGGACAAGGGGAAAUGGCCUUAAGCUGGAGGAGGGUAGAUUUUGAUUGGAUUUUAGGAAGAAAUUCCUCCCAGUGAGGGUGGGCAGGCCCUGGCACAGGUGCCCAGAGCAGCUGUGGCUGCCCCUGGAUCCCUGGCAGUGCCCAAGGCCAGGCUGGACAGGGCUUGGAGCACCCUGGGAUGGUGGAAGGUGUCCCUGCCAUGGCAAUUAGAUGGUCUCUAAUGUCCCAAAUCAUCCUGGAUUCAAUGAUUCCAUGACCUUGGGACACAACCAAGGCACUGGGCUGCUUUGAGAUGUAUUUUCUGUAACUGCCUCGAUGCUUGUGACCUUUCUUUUAGGAUAUGGGCCUUGCCACAGCUAUUGAAGCCUAUCUUUAUCUAAAGAUUGGAACACUGAAGUGAGUUUUAAUGAGGGAUAAACUGAGACCAUCUGGAUGUCUCAGCUGCUACAGAGCAUGAUUGUUUGCUGAUUUUAACCAUGGCUCUUGCAGAGAACAUAGACCUGUGUUGCACAAAGUGCACGAGCUCAGCUUGAUUUCUCCUUGUAAUCAAAUGUGUUGAUCUAAAAUCUAUUUCCAGCAAAUUACUUGUCUGUUUUGGGAACAGCUCCCUCCCCGUCUCUUCAGCACGGUGAUGGGGAUAAGCAGAGACAAUUGAGUUGAAAAGGUAUUUUUGUGAGGGUCUGACAGUGAGAGUUCCCAGUGAAAUCUUCCAUUUUGGAACAGGACUGCCAUCUGCUCACAAACUACAUGCCACGUGCCAACUCAAAUUAAAAUCCAGAAAUUUGAUUUCUUUUUUUUUUUUUCCAAGGGUCUUAUGCACUUUGUUGUUGUUGAGUUUGGUAAUUUGGUUUUGGGUUGGUUUUUUUUUGUUUGUUUGUUGGGGUUUUUUGUUGUUUUUGUUGCUGCUGGGGGGGUUUUGGGGUUUUGUGGUUUUUUUUGGUGUGGGUUUUUUUGGUUUGGUUUGUGUUUUUUUUGGUGUUUUUUGUUUUGUUGUUGUUGUUUUUUAAUAGAGAUUUGUUACAAAAAAUUGGUAAUUAAUGGUCCCAUUUGAAUGGUGGUGGCAUGGAGACAAUCUGCAUUUCUUCAUGCACGUAUUUCAAUGGUUAAGUGUUCUGACUACUGGAUAACCAUAGUGAAUUAAGCUUCAACAGAUCAAUUGUUGACCCUGUAUAUAUCCUGCAAGAUAAAUAAUGAGUUUGUUUGGGAAGGUAAAGUAAGAAACUACUCAAACCCAUCACAAAAUUAACAGUCAGCAAAAGAAACUGUGAAAAUAAUUCUGCAGAUUAAUUAUUGGAAUAGUGUCUAGACAGCUGAGAUUCGUGCUCAGUUCUCAAAUUAAACAAAACCAACAGGAGAAUGAACCCAGAUUUCCCAUGUUCCCACAGAUUUUUUCCGUGUCAGAAUUCCACAGGCACUGGAAACUCCCCAAAUUCUAAAACCUUCAGCAAACUUCAGAACUGCUUUUGGAGAGACCAGGCCUGGGUUUGGAGGUGGGGUGGAGCGAGGGUGUGAUGAUUCCACCCAAACACCUCAGCCAACAGGCACCAUUAACAAUUAGAGAACAGAACAUUCUGUUUAAUUUCGUUUAAGUGCUGUUAAUUGUGCAUUCACCAGGCAUGACACCUGUCAUGGACCUUAAAUUCCAAGCAGAUCUCAAAGUUAAAAGAGUAAAAGCAACAAGUGUUCUUGUAAGAGCUGCUCCAGGGAUAGUGAGACCAUAAGUAAUUUAGCAUAUUUUAGCAUGGUUUUUCCACCCUUUAUAAAUCUAAAUAAAGCUUCUGAAAAAGAAAUUAUCUGUUGCUUUUUACCUCUCAAAAAGUGAUCCAACACAGAAUGUUCUGGCUUUUGACUAGAUAAGGUGAUUAUUUGAAAAUUAAAUCCUAGCCUGUGCUCUUUUCCUAUCAGAGUACCAAUAAAUGCCUAAAAGGGAAUUUCUGGAAGAGGUAUCUUGAGAUGCUUGGGAUAAAUACCCCUCAAAACACCAAGAGGAGCUGACUGCUCCCAUUUAUUGGGCUCCAUCUGGUACCAGGGGACAUUCCUUUAUUGAUUUGUUGAGCUCAAAACCUUUCAGGGGCAACACAUAAAUACCUACAAAAAUUUCAGUUGGUUACAACUUUGAUUCCCACUUCUAAACCCAAAUACUUUUGAUAAUUGGAAUUCUUUGUGUCAGCCGUCACCAAUGGUCAUCCCAGAUGUGCUGGAAAGCCACGUCCCUCCCUCUGACACCAGGACCACAAAUAUUUCCCAAUAAGGGAUUCCCAAAGAAAUCUAUUCUGGCAUUAGAGGUAUGGAGGAAUCCAAUGGACCAAUAAAAUUAAAUCUCUCCCUCUACAGGCAGAAGCAGUAAUGAGGAAUUACCAAAUUCUCCAAAGAUCCAGUGCUGAACAUGCCUAAAAUAACCAAAGUAAUUAGCCAUAAUAUCAUUAACCUGUAAUAUUAUUGGUCAUAUCUGUGACUUGGUGUGUCCAAGGUGCACCAAGUUUUAAAAUAAGUCUUAAACACUGGGAUAUCCAUGAUUAAUCUGCUUGAAUCAAACUCCCUGCACUGACAUAAUACCCAAAGUGUGCAACAAAACAAAAGACAAAUCCAGUUGUUUCCAAGGUUUUCACACCCAUCAACUCCUACAUAUUUCCUAGAGAAGCAAACUCACACCUCCUGCAACAGCUUUAGUUUUCUUUGUUGUGUUUUGUGGACCCAUCUGAAAUAAUUCAGACAUCAGAAAAGUGAAAUUACCAUACUUUGAGUAACUUUAAGCCAUCUCCCAAUCUGUAUUUUUUCAAAUCAGAAAUCUUACAGAGAGAGCACCCCCACAACAAUGUCCAGAAUAAAAGGGAAUUGUCAAUUCUUUGCAUGUUUAACUA